rnacentral:rRNA from 1 species
UAGGACGACGCUGGCGGCGGGCUUAACACAUGCAAGUCGAACGAGAAAGGGUUCUUCGGAACCCGAGUAAAGUGGCGAACGGGUGCGUAACACGUAGGUAACCUGCCCUUGAGUGGGGAAUAACUACCGGAAACGGUGGCUAAUACCGCAUGAAGACCAGAGAUCGCAUGAUCUUCGGUUGAAAGACUUCGGUUGCUCAAGGAUGGGCCUGCGGCGGAUUAGCUUGUUGGUGAGGUAAAAGCUCACCAAGGCUACGAUCCGUAGCUGGUCUGAGAGGAUGAUCAGCCACACUGGCACUGAGACACGGGCCAGACUCCUACGGGAGGCAGCAGUGAGGAAUCUUGCGCAAUGGAGGAAACUCUGACGCAGCCACGCCGCGUGAAGGAAGACACCCCUAUGGGGCGUAAACUUCUUUUAUAUGGGAAGAACACCCUGCCCGGCAGGGUCUGGCGGUACCAUAUGAAUAAGCACCGGCUAACUCCGUGCCAGCAGCCGCGGUAAUACGGAGGGUGCAAGCGUUGUCCGGAAUCACUGGGUGUAAAGGGUGUGUAGGCGGGGCAGUAAGUCAGAGGUGAAAGCCCACGGCUCAACCGUGGAAUUGCCUUUGAUACUGCUGUUCUUGAGUCCUGGAGAGGUCGCCGGAAUUCGUGGUGUAGCGGUGAAAUGCGUAGAUAUCACGAGGAACACCGGAGGUGUAGACGGGUGACUGGACAGGUACUGACGCUGAGGCACGAAAGCGUGGGGAGCAAACAGGAUUAGAUACCCUGGUAGUCCACGCCGUAAACGAUGGAUGCUCGGUGUUGCCCCGUUUCAGGGGCAGUGCCCAAGCUAACGCAUUAAGCAUCCCACCUGGGGAGUACGCUCGCAAGAGUGAAACUC